AGGACGAACGCUGGCGGCGUGCUUCAUACAUGCAAGUCGAACGAGAAACUGACUUCGGUCAGUGGAAAGUGGCGGACGGGUGAGUAAAAUGUAGAGAAUCUGCCCUAGAGAGUGGGACAACAGAGGGAAACUUCUGCUAAUACCGCAUAUGCGCGUAGCUGAAAUGCUAUUCGUGAAAACUCCGGUGCUCUGGGAUGAGUCUGCAUCUGAUUAGCUAGUUGGCGGUGUAAUGGACCACCAAGGCGACGAUCAGUAGCUGGUUUGAGAGGAUGAUCAGCCACAAUGGGACUGAGACACGGCCCAUACUCCUACGGGAGGCAGCAGUAGGGAAUUUUGCGCAAUGGGGGAAACCCUGACGCAAGCAACGCCGCGUGAUUGAAGAAGCCCUUCGGGGUGUAAAGAUCUGUCAGUGGGGACGAAACUUGACGGUACCCACAGAGGAAGCAUCGGCUAACUCCGUGCCAGCCGCUGC
rnacentral:rRNA from 1 species